AACGCGAAGAACCUUACCUGGCCUUGACAUGUCUGGAAGUCUGCAGAGAUGCGGAUGUGCCUUCGGGAACCAGAACACAGGUGCUGCAUGGCUGUCGUCAGCUCGUGUCGUGAGAUGUUGGGUUAAGUCCCGCAACGAGCGCAACCCUUGUCCUUAGUUGCCAGCUUUAAGUAGGGAACUCUAAGGAGACCGCCGGUGACAAACCGGAGGAAGGUGGGGAUGACGUCAAGUCAUCAUGGCCUUUAUGGCCAGGGCUACACACGUGCUACAAUGGUAGAAACAGAGGGAAGCCAACGCGCGAGCGGGAGCCAAUCCCAGAAAAUCUAUCGUAGUCCGGAUCGGAGUCUGCAACUCGACUCCGUGAAGUCGGAAUCGCUAGUAAUCGCAGAUCAGCAUUGCUGCGGUGAAUACGUUCCCGGGCCUUGUA
rnacentral:rRNA from 1 species